UAAUACGUAGGGGGCGAGCGUUGUCCGGAUUUAUUGGGCGUAAAGGGCGUGUAGGCGGCCUGGUAAGUCGGGGGUGAAAACUCAGGGCUCAACCCUGAGACUGCCUUCGAUACUGCUGGGCUUGAGUGCUCUAGAGGGUAGUGGAAUUGCCGGUGUAGCAGUGAAAUGCGUAGAGAUCGGCAGGAACACCAGUGGCGAAGGCGACUGCCUGGGGAGUAACUGACGCUGAGGCGCGAAAGCUGGGGGAGCAAACGGGAUUAGAUACCCCGGUAGUCCCAGCCGUAAACGAUGAGUGCUAGGUGUGAGGGGUAUCGACCCCCCUCGUGCCGCAACAAACGCAAUAAGCACUCCGCCUGGGGAGUACGGCCGCAAGGUUG
rnacentral:rRNA from 1 species